AGUAGGAACUCUCAUUAUUUCCAUUUUAUAAAUAAGGAAGCUGAGGCACAGACUAGUUAGAUAAUUUGCCACAUAAACCUAUAGCUAGGAUUCAAACCCACGCUGUGAAGGUGAGUAGAAAUCCAGAUUGUCUGGCUUCAGAGUCCACAUUUAAAACUACUCUAUUACCAGCCUCCCCAAAGUCCUGCUAGCUAGUAAACCACGUCCCCUCUCCUCCUCCUUCUUCUUCUUAAAAACAAAACAAACAAAAAAAGUGUGAACAAUAUUGGUUAACUUCGGCAAUCUUUUCUCUUUCAUUUGUUUUUUUCCUCUCUUUCUCAUCAGAAAAGGGCUCUGGUAGUAUAGUAAACAGGGUGCUAAAUAUAGAUAUUAAGUCAUUUAAUCAUUUUGGGGUGACCAGACUUACCCUUUCUAUAACUUAAUUCAAAUCUUCAAAGAGUUAGAGUUUGUCCAAAUGAUAGGCUGGGAGUAACUUCAGAAUUUUUCUACUUUAUUAUACCUUCAUUCUAGCCAUUGUAUAUUCUGUUACUUCUCCUAGGAUUAAUUCUGAAAAAGCUUUUUUUCCCCUUAAGUUCAUGGUUACUAGUCUUGAAAUUCUCAGCAGAAGACACAGACAUAAAAAGAAAUAAUUAUAAUAAUAUAGUUUAUUAAGUUGCAGAUUAGAAUUAUGAGAGCUUAGUCUAAGAAAUACCUGCCCUGGCCGGGCACGGUGUCUCACGCCUAUAAUCCCAGCACUUUGGGAGGCCGAGGUGGGUGGAUCACGAGGUCAAGAGAUUGAGGCCAUCCUGGUCAACAUGGUGAAACCCUGUCUCUACUGAAAAUACAAAAAUUAGCUGGGCAUGGUGGCGCGUGUCUGUAGUCCCAGCUACUCGGGAAGCUGAGGCAGGAGAAUUGUUUGAACCGAGGAGGAGGCGGUUGCAGUGAGCCAAGAUCGUGCCAUUGCACUCCAGCCUGGGUAACAAGAGCGAAACUCCAGCCUGGGUAACAGGAGUGAAACUCCAUCUCAAAAAAAAAAAAAAUAC
rnacentral:lncRNA from 1 species